rnacentral:rRNA from 1 species
CGAAAGCCUGACGGAGCAACGCCGCGUGAGGGAGGAAGGCUCUUGGGUUGUAAACCUCUUUCCUCAAGGAAGAUAAUGACGGUACUUGAGGAAUCAGCAUCGGCUAACUCCGUGCCAGCAGCCGCGGUAAUACGGAGGAUGCAAGCGUUAUCCGGAAUAAUUGGGCGUAAAGCGUUCGUAGGUGGUGAUGUAAGUCUGCUGUUAAAGCGUGUAGCUUAACUACAUAUAGGCGGUGGAAACUACAUGACUAGAGUGCGUUCGGGGCAGAGGGAAUUCCUGGUGUAGCGGUGAAAUGCGUAGAUAUCAGGAAGAACACCGGUGGCGAAGGCGCUCUGCUAGGCCGUAACUGACACUGAGGGACGAAAGCUAGGGGAGCG